GUGCUCGCUUUAGCAGCACAUACACUAAAAAUUGGAACGAUACAGAGAAGAUUAGCAUGGCCCCUGCGCAAGGAUGAUGCGCAAAUUCGUGAAGCAUUCCAUAUUUUU
rnacentral:snRNA from 1 species